CCCAGAGUUUUGUCUCCCCAUUGUGUCCCCUCGUCUGUUGUCUGGUGUGUCACGGGUGUCUGGGUGUAGUUGUCCCGGAGCUGCUCUGCCCUGCUGCCCAGCCUGGCUGUAGGUGUACAAGGCCAAGUCCCAGGCCCCUGUAAUUUGAACUUUGUGAUGUAGGGUGUAGUUGGGGUCUAGAACAUAUCCCUAGAUCAACACAAGAUGUCUGGAGCUGUGAAGUUUCCCUGCAGCACUUUGACUUUUGUCUCAGCUCUCUUUCAGAUGCGGAUGGAUGAAAUCAGUGGCAGAGCGCCCCAUCCAGGGUAAGGGGGUUCCCCCGAGAAGGAAAUAGAGCCAUCUAGCAGCAGUCAAGGUGAAGCGGGCAAGGCGGUCCAGUCGCGUUUCGUCGAGACCCCGUCGCCAGCCGGCCGGCACGCCUGCUUCGCCGCUCCUGUGAGCCCUGCGGAAGCGUCACAGGGACCGCGUGACGGAGCCUUUUCCACGUAAAGGGGCCUUGUGGCUGGCCUUCAGGAAGGGGCCGAGGGCUUCCCGCGUGCCCUGUGCUGAUGGCGUCCGGCACCCGGCAUGUCCGUAGCAUGUGGCCUCAGGACACAGCCAUUCAUAGGAGACCCUGACCUGGAGAUGAUAUCCUGGAGAUGGCAGGAACUUUCUGGAUGGCGAGGCGGCCUUCCUUGGCGCUCCACAUGGAUCCUUCCCACCGGGCAUUCGAGAGCAUAGUCGAUGACUGAGAUCCGCAGAGUGGAUGAAAGUUGGGACUCGUCGGGACUCGUGACCCGGGAUAUUUGAGUCAGCUUUGGGGACGGGGAGGUCCAGGCUGUGGCCCCUUAGGCCGCACGGUCGGAGAGCCUCACUUUUGUUCACAGUGCUGAGGUGUGCAGGACAGAGCAGCCUCGGGGUGCGUCGUUUCACUUGUCCGUCGUGCCUUCUGUGUCUUUUGUGCCUCUCGUGUUGUAUGUGCCUUCCCUUAUCCCUUCUGGGGGCUUACCAGAAACCCUGACGCCGUUCUUAACAUCUCCAAUCUCUGGGCUCCUCGGCUCGGCUGCUCUCAGAGGCCUUGGAAUCGCGUCUCUUUUGAAAAACAUCCGAUCGGAUGUCUUGGAGACGUCUUCUUCCGAGCUGUGUCAACAGCCGUGCGCCGCGAGGAUCCAUUGUUGCGGCUUAGGACUUGAAGAAACGCAAGGAUAGGUAGGGGACUGCGGCCCUCAGGUUCUUGAGCAUCUGUCUUGGCAGUUCCUGGAGUUAAUUGUUCCAUCAGCAUCUUCUUCCUCCCGGGUUCUGUGAGCUUCAUCAGCUCGCCUUCAUUCUCACCCGGCUCAUCUCGUUCCGCAUUCUCUCAGUCCUUGCGGCCGUCCUUGUGGCCCAGAGUUUUGUCUCCCCAUUGUGUCCCCUCGUCUGUUGUCUGGUGUGUCACGGGUGUCUGGGUGUAGUUGUCCCGGAGCUGCUCUGCCCUGCUGCCCAGCCUGGCUGUAGGUGUACAAGGCCAAGUCCCAGGCCCCUGUAAUUUGAACUUUGUGAUGUAGGGUGUAGUUGGGGUCUAGAACAUAUUCCUCGAUCAACCAAGAUGUCUGGAGCUGUGAAGUUACCCUGCAGCACUUUGACUUUUGUCUCAGCUCUCUUUCAGAUGCGGAUGGAUGAAAUCAGUGGCAGAGCGCCCCAUCCAGGGUAAGGGGGUUCCCCCGAGAAGGUAAGUCAGUGUUUGUCUUUGCAGGGCAACUGGAACCGGUCCCUGUGUUACAGGUCUCCUCUUUGUCUUUAUUUUUAGGAAAUAGAGCCAUCUAGCAGCAGUCAAGGUGAAGCGGGCAAGGCGGUCCAGUCGCGUUUCGUCGAGACCCCGUCGCCAGCCGGCCGGCACGCCUGCUUCGCCGCUCCUGUGAGCCCUGCGGAAGCGUCACAGGGACCGCGUGACGGAGCCUUUUCCACGUAAAGGGGCCUUGUGGCUGGCCUUCAGGAAGGGGCCGAGGGCUUCCCGCGUGCCCUGUGCUGAUGGCGUCCGGCACCCGGCAUGUCCGUAGCAUGUGGCCUCAGGACACAGCCAUUCAUAGGAGACCGUGAGUAGCGGAAUUGUCGGGUUUUGGCCGACGCCCUGCACAGAUCAGCUGCUGAUUUUCUGUUUUAUUUUUGGUAGCUGACGAAGAGACGACAGCCUGGCGAUGGCAGGAACUUCCCGGGUAGCCAGGCGGCCUUCCUUGGCGCUCCGUGUGGAUCCUCCCCAGCGGGCAUCCGAGAGCUGAGUCAAAGGCUACGACCCGCAGAGGGGAUGAAAGCGGGGUGCCGGGUCGGGGCGGUUCAGGCUGUGGCGCCUUAGGCUGCACGGUGGGAGAGCCUCACUUUUGUUCACAGUGCUGAGGUGUGCAGGACAGAGCAGCCUCUGGGCGCGUCGUGUCACUCGUCCAUCGUGCCUUCUGUGUCUUUUGUGCCUCCUGUGUUGUAUGUGCCUUCCCUUAUCCCUUCUGGGGGCUUACCAGAAACCCCAGCAACACUUAUAACAUCUCCAAUCUCUGGGCU